rnacentral:rRNA from 1 species
GACGAACGCUGGCGGCGUGCUUAACACAUGCAAGUCGAACGGCAGCACGGACUUCGGUCUGGUGGCGAGUGGCGAACGGGUGAGUAAUGUAUCGGAACGUGCCCAGUCGUGGGGGAUAACGUAGUGAAAAUUACGCUAAUACCGCAUACGAUCUAUGGAUGAAAGCGGGGGACCGUAAGGCCUCGCGCGAUUGGAGCGGCCGAUAUCAGAUUAGGUAGUUGGUGGGGUAAAGGCUCACCAAGCCGACGAUCUGUAGCUGGUCUGAGAGGACGACCAGCCAAACUGGAACUGCGACGCGGUCCAGACUCCUACGGGAGACAGCAGUGGGGAAUGUUGGACAAGGGGCGCAAGCCUGAUCCAGCCAUUCCGCGUGCAGGAUGAAGGCCCUCGGGUUGUAAACUGCUUUUGUACGGAACGAAAAGGCUCUGGUUAAUACCUGGGGCUCAUGACGGUACCGUAAGAAUAAGCACCGGCUAACUACGUGCCAGCCGCCGCGGUAA